GUCCAGGGUAGCCUAGUGGUCAUGGCAGCUGCCCGGUAAGCGGAAGGUCGUGGGUUCGAUUCCCAUCCCUUGACA
rnacentral:tRNA from 1 species